GAAAAAGGAACAUUGCAGCCUUGAAAGAUCCACAGUCAGUCUUUGCCACUAAGAGAAAGGAAGAGGCUGACUUGCGACAGAGCAGACUUGGAGAGCUGGGAAUAAGGGAGGGGGCUAGCAAUGAACUCACAGAGCUAAAACAACUGAAAGUCAGUAAUUGCCUUUCAAUAGUGUCUAAGCCCCAGGAGCUCCAUUAAAGCAGCCAAAAUGGAUUGAAUUCCCACUGGGGAAGACGCUUGCCAUUGAUCGCGCAGACCCAUCCAGCAAUUCCUGCGUCUUAGCAGGAAUGAUUACUCCCCAAGAAAUCCUGCCCAGAAGCCUGCGUCCAUCACUUUCCCAGUGACUGAAGAAAGCAUCCUGGGCAGGAUGAAGAUGGCAUGAUAGAUUCCUGCAGCACAAGCCAAAAAGGGGAGAAUGUGUGAAGCCAUGGGUCUGGAGGAGUUAACCUAAAGGGGAGCGAGGAAAGAGAGUUCAGUUCUGACUUCAACAUCUUAAAGACUUGGCGAAGGAAGAUGAGCCAGUAAAGGAAACUGAAGAAUAUCACUGAGAGAAAAAAGCAGGAGUUUGUUGUCUCACAAAACUUGUGGUUGAUAUAGUCAAAUGCUGCUGCAAGAACUCACUUCAGACUCAAGUCGAAGCGGAUCCAUUGGAAGAAGCAACAACGAGGUCAUUGCUGGGCCAUAGCAAGUACACUGUACUGUUUUGCCAGAGUGAUGGAUGUAAACAAUAGACUGGAGUGUGACCACAAGGAGAGGGAUGCAAGUGGAAAUGUCCUGAG
rnacentral:lncRNA from 10 species